UACGUAGGGAGCGAGCGUUGUCCGGAAUUACUGGGCGUAAAGGGUGCGUAGGCGGUCCUGUAAGUUGGAUGUGAAAUACCCGGGCUCAACCUGGGGGGUGCAUGCAAAACUGUGGGACUAGAGUACGGGAGAGGAAAGCGGAAUUCCUAGUGUAGCGGUGAAAUGCGUAGAUAUUAGGAGGAACACCAGUGGCGAAGGCGGCUUUCUGGACCGAAACUGACGCUGAGGCACGAAAGCGUGGGGAGCAAACAGGAUUAGAUACC
rnacentral:rRNA from 1 species